CCAUAUUGGAUCCUACAUAUUAUACGAAGAUCUUAUCGUUUGAACCUCAGUUCCAAGGAUUCAUAUAAUCCCGUAUGUCAUUCCCUUUGUCCUUCGGUAUGUUACUUGCCCGAGGUUCGAUCGUCAGUAUCCGCAUACCUAUUUCAAUCUCGUUUACCGGCAANNNNNNNNNNCCCGAGUGACUCCUCGGUCAAUAUCCAAUAGCGGGACCUGGAUGCCCAUAUUGGAUCCCACAUAUUCUACGAAGAUCUUAUCGUUUGAACCUCAGUGCCAGGGAUUCAUAUAAUCCCGUAUGUCAUUCCCUUUGUCCUUCGGUAUGUCACUUGCUCGAGAUUCGAUCGUCAGUAUCCGCAUACCUAUUUCAAUCUCGUUUACCGGCAAGUCUCUUUACUCGUUCCGUAAUACAAGAUCCCGCAACUUACACUAAGUCACAUUGCUUGCAAGGCUUGUGUGUGAUGUUGUAUUACCGAGUGGGCCCC
rnacentral:lncRNA from 1 species